rnacentral:rRNA from 1 species
GAUGAACGCUGGCGGCGUGCCUAAUACAUGCAAGUCGAGCGAACGGACGAGAAGCUUGCUUCUCUGAUGUUAGCGGCGGACGGGUGAGUAACACGUGGAUAACCUACCUAUAAGACUGGGAUAACUUCGGGAAACCGGAGCUAAUACCGGAUGAUAUUUUGAACCGCAUGGUUCAAAAGUGAAAGACGGUCUUGCUGUCACUUAUAGAUGGAUCCGCGCUGCAUUAGCUAGUUGGUAAGGUAACGGCUUACCAAGGCAACGAUGCAUAGCCGACCUGAGAGGGUGAUCGGCCACACUGGGACUGAGAUACGGCCCAGACUCCUACGGGAGGCAGCAGUGGGGAAUAGUGCACAAUGGGCGGAAGCCUGAUGCAGCAACGCCGCGUGCGGGAUGACGGCCUUCGGGUUGUAAACCGCUUUCGCCUGUGACGAAGCGUGAGUGACGGUAAUGGGUAAAGAAGCACCGGCUAACUACGUG